rnacentral:rRNA from 1 species
UAGGGAAUCUUCCGCAAUGGACGCAAGUCUGACGGAGCAACGCCGCGUGAGUGAAGAAGGUCUUCGGAUCGUAAAACUCUGUUAUUAGGGAAGAACAAAUGUGUAAGUAACUAUGCACGUCUUGACGGUACCUAAUCAGAAAGCCACGGCUAACUACGUGCCAGCAGCCGCGGUAAUACGUAGGUGGCAAGCGUUAUCCGGAAUUAUUGGGCGUAAAGCGCGCGUAGGCGGUUUUUUAAGUCUGAUGUGAAAGCCCACGGCUCAACCGUGGAGGGUCAUUGGAAACUGGAAAACUUGAGUGCAGAAGAGGAAAGUGGAAUUCCAUGUGUAGCGGUGAAAUGCGCAGAGAUAUGGAGGAACACCAGUGGCGAAGGCGACUCUCUGGUCUGUAACUGACGCUGAGGCUCGAAAGCGUGGGUAGCAAACAGG